UCUGCACAUUGUUAGAGCUUGGAGUUGAGGCCACAGGAUGAUGAACUCACAAGUGUAGGUAGUGUGCUACAUGAGAGGGGCAGUUUUUCGCCAACAUCACAAGGGUCUCUGGCCCAAUGAAUGGAGUUUGAUACUAAUACUUGCUACAAAU